UAAGUACUAACAAACCACGAUUAUAUAACACAACUUCAUGCACUGAAUUUUUAGUAACGACUGAAUGCCUUAAAGUGACUUUUACUGUCAGUUUUCUUUCAGAUCAGCCACUGUCACAUUAGAGUCUGAAGACAAUCUUGCCAUACAAGAGCUCUAUCGCCCCCUCGAGGACUAGAGUUUGCUGCUGACAGACGCCCAAGAAGAACACACAUAAUGCAAAACAACAAGAGUCCUUCUAUAACGUGUGCUGGUCGUGUACAGAUGCUUCUGCGGAUUUGAAGGGAGGACCUCGAGGCUGAUACGAGGAUGAUGAGGAUGAUGAGGAUGAGGAUGUGGGGCUCGUUCAGAUGAACAUUUCGAAUGUCCUCACGGAUCUGAAAGAGAAAAAAGAAAAUGGCAUUGAUUUAAAAUGAGUUCACUUCAACACUUUUCAUCUAAAUUGAAAGUAUGUUUUCUCUCAUUUAAGAUCUCUGUUAUGUAUCACGGAUAUAUAAUUGUAUAGGUUUUGUUCAUAUUUUGAAUUAGAUAAAAAAAAAAAUUCUGUUAUCAUUUUUAGUAUUUUAGUUAAAGUGUUAGUA